GACGAACCGAGCGAACGUUGUUCGGAAUCACUGGGCUUAAAGGGCGCGUAGGCGGGUGCUCAAGUCCGUGGUGAAAUCUCCGAGCUUAACUCGGAACUGUCAGCUGAUACUGAUGUGCUAGAGUGCGGAAGGGGCAAUCGGAAUUCUUGGUGUAGCGGUGAAAUGCGUAGAUAUCAAGAGGAACACCUGAGGUGAAGACGGGUUGCUGGGCCGACACUGACGCUGAGUGCGCGAAAGCCAGGGGAGCAAACGGG
rnacentral:rRNA from 1 species